AACUGUCCCAACUUCAAAUCUGUUAGACAUCACAAUAGGAGAUAAGGGAGGGAAAUUAGUGACGUUAAAGACUGGGGAGUCUUGUAUAGCAACCUGCUUCUGUUUGUUCCCACCAUCAGCAGAAGCUAGAGUACUUGUCUCCUUUGGUAACUCUUGGCACUGGAUUUGAUCCAUCUGGUUAUUCUGGACCACUGUGACUGGUGCUUUCACUCUCCAUUCCUGUGUCACCUUGUUUUUCUGUGUGGUUGAGUAGAUUUAGCCAAACAGUUGUGUCCAACCUCCAAACAUUUCUCACAAUACACAUGUUUCCAAUCAUAAUCCACAUCCUGCAUGAAGCUCUUUCCAUUUGGGUCAAGAAUCUCUAUCUCACUAGGUAGCUUUCUCGACACAUUUACCUCAAUGAGCAUACGAGCAUACGAGAUUCUAGAUUGCUUAGUUGUAUAUUCGUCAGCAAAUAUAGGUCUACCAAGGACACUAGUAAUCCUACUUAAAGAUUUGCUACCCCAACAAGACAUAGGCAAGUUAGGGAACUUGAUCCACAAGGGAAUUUCUGAAGGAAAGGCUGCUUUGAA
rnacentral:lncRNA from 1 species